AUUGAACGCUGGCGGCAGGCCUAACACAUGCAAGUCGAACGGUAACAGGAAGAAGCUUGCUUCUUUGCUGACGAGUGGCGGACGGGUGAGUAAUGUCUGGGAAACUGCCUGAUGGAGGGGGAUAACUACUGGAAACGGUAGCUAAUACCGCAUAACGUCGCAAGACCAAAAAGGGGGACCUUCGGGCCUCUUGCCAUCGGAUGUGCCCAGAUGGGAUUAGCUAGUAGGUGGGGUAACGGCUCACCUAGGCGACGAUCCCUAGCUGGUCUGAGAGGAUGACCAGCCACACUGGAACUGAGACACGGUCCAGUCUCCUACGGGAGGCAGCAGUGGGGAAUAUUGCACAAUGGGCGCAAGCCUGAUGCAGCCAUGCCGCGUGUAUGAAGAAGGCCUUCGGGUUGUAAAGUACUUUCAGCGGGGAGGAAGGGAGUAAAGUUAAUACCUUUGCUCAUUGACGUUACCCGCAGAAGAAGCACCGGCUAACUCCGUG
rnacentral:rRNA from 1 species